ACUCUUCUAGGACGCAAUCCACAACUUUCAGCCAGUCCGCAGACUGACGAGAAGAAACUGCUGAUUGCUAUCAGUGGACUGUCUCGUCAGCUUACUCAACAUACUGCCGACAUGAAUGAGAGGUUCACUCAACUGCAGAAUUCGGUAAACUCCAGGUUGCUGUCCAUAGAGGACAAGAUGGCGGCUCUGCAGUCGAAGAACUGUGCGGGAGAGACUAACUCCAAGAAGAGAAGACGGAUGCACAAAAGCUUGCGUACGCCGUCUUCACAACUCGGAGACAAAUUGCAGGCGCUAUGAACCGGCGCAAGGACUAAGCACGCCUCAUAAUGAGGCAGUUACCUCCUAUCUGCUCGGAGCAAUAACUGCAAGCCUCGAUUUACACUAUAUUGAUAAAGACGACAUUGUGUCCGCCUGUAAGACGUAUUACGAGACGGUACGCAGGAGCUUCAGAUAUACGCAGCCAGAGAACUCAAUGCGGGCGGAAGCUGCCAAGAAUUCAGCUCGGAGUCGAGCGAGAAGAAAGAGGCUGCAGGAAUCGAGGCAGAGCGUGCUAGCUGAUGAGGAAGUGGAACUCUGGAUGUCCGCCACCGUCGACCUCAUGUCUGACGAGGAAGAUGGCGUCGUUGGCGGGGU